rnacentral:rRNA from 1 species
UACGGGGGAGCAAGCGUUGUUCGGAUUUACUGGGCGUAAAGGGCGCGUAGGCGGCGUAACAAGUCACUUGUGAAAUCUCCGGGCUUAACUCGGAGCGGUCAAGUGAUACUGUUGUGCUAGAGUGCGGAAGGGCUACUGGAAUUCUCGGUGUAGCGGUGAAAUGCGUAGAUAUCGAGAGGAACACCUGCGGCGAAGGCGGGUAGCUGGGCCGACACUGACGCUGAAGCGCGAAAGCUAGGGGAGCGAACGGG